rnacentral:rRNA from 1 species
UACGGAGGGUGCAAACGUUGCUCGGAAUCAUUGGGCGUAAAGCGCACGUAGGCGGCCCAGCAAGUCGGGUGUGAAAGCCCUCGGCUUAACCGAGGAAGUGCAUUCGAAACUACUGAGCUUGAAUACUGGAGAGGAUCGCGGAAUUCCCGGUGUAGAGGUGAAAUUCGUAGAUAUCGGGAGGAACACCAGUGGCGAAGGCGGCGAUCUGGGAAGAUACUGAUGCUGAGGUGCGAAAGCGUGGGGAGCAAACAGG